GGAUUAUCGGUCCCUCCAUCUGCCAGCCGGGCACAGAUUGCUAUGAUGAAGAGAAGCCCAGAGUGUCACAAAUGCUCAGAGCUGGAGCAUCCUACACCCCGCGAGGAUUAGUGAAAACAUCCUGGAGAUUGGACUCACCUUAAGUGACUCGGCUACAUCAAAUGCAGCUGGAUCCAGGGCAACCCAGUCAACGAUACGCCCCCAGGGUAAGCUAGUUCGUGGUUUCCUCCCAAAUCAAGCUCUCUCUCUUUUCCCAACAGUGUGGCUUUAAAUCUGUGGAUUGAGAGUUCUCUAGCUGGGCGUAAAUUCCUAUUGACCUUAACUAGAAAAACUUACCUUCCUCCAAAUCUGUUUAGAAAUGUGUCCCCCUGGGCCCUAAAGUGCUAUUUGAGUUUUUCAGCAUCUUUCAGCUCAAUGAGAGACUUAAAUGCCAACUCUGUGACUCAAGGACGGUGGAUGGAUUUGUCAACAUCUCUGGAGAAUUCAAUCAUGAAUCACUGAGCUGCAGGACAUCAAUGCAUGGCAAGGUGGACAAUUCUGAGCUCCAGCCACUGAAGUCUGCUGUUCAGAUGAGCUCUAACAGGCACCGGUAUCUACGGAGCGUUGUGCACUGAGGGUGCUUAUGGUUCCAAAAUGUUCACUGGGCCUGUCUAGAUCCGGCACUCACAU
rnacentral:lncRNA from 1 species